GCCUGGGUAGCUCAAUGGUAGAGCAUCCGCCUUGUAAGCGGACGGUUGGGGGUUCGAUUCCCUUCCCAGGCU
rnacentral:tRNA from 1 species